GGAAGAGUAACCCUAAUGGUAAGGGAACUGUUUGCUAAACAGUUAGUAGCUGUCGAAAGACGGUGUGCGGGUUCGAGCCCCGCUUCUUCCU
rnacentral:tRNA from 1 species